rnacentral:misc_RNA from 1 species
UUUUGAGAUAAUCAUCAACUGAGCAGGGUGUUAUUUCUUUCGCUAUGGAACCUUUUUCAUUGAGUAGUAAAUCACUGCACGAUCUGUAGAGUUACAAUCAAUCAACAAGCUUUCACCCAUCACCUAGCAAUGGGGACUUCCCUCGGUAUCUUCCUAGCUCUUGUCAAGACAGUGUUAUUAUAAAUGUUUUGUCACCUCUUCCAGCACCAUGCUCACCGUGUCUCCGGGCAGUGAUGAAGUGACAGCAUUGUUGCAGACGUGUGUAUUGUAGAGCAGACGCCACUCUGGUGGAGCAGACGACAGUCAAUACUUUCCCUCUCACCGAUCUCAGGGCAGACGGACAGUUGGGGGAUUAUGUCAGUGAGACUUUCCCCAGACGUCCAGGUGGACUUGACUUGAGAAACUUAACAAUGAUGGAUUGGCAGAAAGAUGCUUGUGAUCGGCUACCAUGGAGUGGGAGCGGCUCAGUCUGUGUACAAUGUCAGGAGUGAGCUGUGUGUGGGGUGCUGUGUGUCGAGGAUUCAUGGAAUAAUGUUUUGAAGAUGUAUCAGAGUUGGAAGAAUGUGCUGCUCCUUCCUGGAGGACAAGUAGAUCUGAAGGACAAAUUUCUAAUUUCUAUGAUUGAGGAUUGAAGUGAUCCUGCAAGAUGUGUUUUCGUUGUUUCUUGCUUGCAUGAAGCACUGUCAACACUAUGUGUUUCUUGGAGGAGGAAGUCUGAAGAAGAAAUUCUAGUGCUCUGUUCUGAUGAAGUUUCAUAUUUGGAACAAAACAUUUUCCAUAUGUGAAUGCCUUGGAUUCCAAGUGGAAGGGGGUUCUUGUGAUUCAUGACUGUUGAUUGUUGGGUUUGCUCAUGAACUAUUGUGUUUGUGACUGACACGACUUUAUCUCAAACAUGAGGAAAUGUGGAGCUGUGUUCGGAUAUUUCAAUAUCAAACAUCUUAAAAGAAUCUGAAGGGAAUGUGAUACAUCUCUUUAUCAUUUGCCUUGGUCUCUAGUGUAGACCUGAACACAGUGUAAAUAUUCUGGCUUCCUCUUGGGGGAAUGGAAGAAGAAAACUUGAAGCGGCUUCAGUGUGUAUUCUUUGCUGACUGAAGGUUCUGGAAUAAACUUUGAAUGCACAGUAUGCAUGGUGCCUGAAGCUGGAGCUGUUUGAGCAAGUUCUGGGGUGUCCACUAUGAGAAUUAUUCCAACAAAUAUGGGUGAUAAAGAUAAAGAUGGACGCUGUGAGAGAAAUGAAAAUAUUAAUUUGUGCCGGUAGUGGAAUGUUCUUGACAUUUUUUUCUUGUGGAUAUCAGAUGUUAGACUUUACUUCCAGACCCAGUUUCUAACAUCUGAGUGUUCGAUGGAGGUUCUGAAAUGUCGAUUUGAUUAAUUGUGAUUCUGGCGUAAGAUUGUCUACGCCUUCUGUUGAGAUGGAUUUUCGCUGCUUUUUCUGAAACUGUUUUCCAAGCUUUGUGAGUAUAGGAUUGUGAACACUUGGUCUUGAAUCCAUGACACUCAACUUGAUAAACCUCUACAUGACGAUGGAGAGAUACACUCGAACUUCAAGCAGCCGCUGUGCUUCGGGACGGUCCAUCCUUCUCGACAUUGAUGACGCUCUCGAACGUUUGUCAAACCACUCAAGCCCCAUCAACAGAAUGCAUGUGACUGUGAAACGUAGCAGCACUGCCAUACCCGAGAUGGCUCCAAACUCUGUGUACAGUCAGUUGGGAGUUAUCUCCCCCUUCCCAGUCAGGGGGCUUCCUCUACCAGUGCUACAGGGGAAGUUCGUAAGCAGUAAGAGUAAAACGCUGAGUGCUAUGAACCAUGUGACCCCGGGUCGGCUCCAGCGGAGUAAGACGAUUCUCUCCACCCCGUGUCGGCACUGUGUCGCCUGCACAGUCAAACAUUUACGCAAUUUUAACAAGCUCCAGUCCGGUGUGGGGAUCCGUAUUGAGGAUGGGAUGGUAUAUGGGAUGAAGAGGUCCAAGUCUGAUCUUCACCUCUACGAUGACUCCAUGCGACCUGGCACUAUGUCGCUGUUGACAGGGGAGAGAGCCCCAGUGUUCAUGAUGGGAGCUCAGGAACCCAGAGAAGAUGUAGUUGGGGGCAACAAAGAGGAGGUUUUGUUACCAAUGGCAACACUCACAAAGAAAGGUCUCAUCAAGUUAACCUCCCUGGACCAGGAGCUGCCAGAUCAAGAAUUUAUGUCUAUGAAGAAACAUGGUGUGUACAUCAACACAGAAAACUGCACCGAAGAAGACUGCACAGAAGGGACUGAUCAAGCGCAAGGACAUGCGAGAUCAAAUACGGGCAGGGGCACAGAUGUUGGAGGAGGAGAGGAGGAAGACCCAGGACGAGGAGGAGGAUGACGGGGAGGUGCGUUUGGAGGACUACACCAUUGGGGACCUGCAGACAGCUCUUGACAUGGUGCAGGAGAAUCCUGACUCCCCUGUGCUGCUGGAUGUGGAGGAGGAGAGAAGUGAGGGCGGCGGCCAGGGCCGGUCCCCCAAACCUCCCAAGCAGCCUCUCGUCACGGAGAGCAUCAAGCAGCAGACAUUCCAACUCCCCA